AAUCUCAGGCAUUCAGCGUUUGGGUGAAGACGAAGGCAGGUUCUGGACAGACUUACGCUGUCAGGGAGUGUUGACUUCGCCUCCACUUCUGUUCCUCCCCGCCGUGGUGCUGCUCCGGGUCACAUAUCGUUCUGAGCCAGCUUCAGCCUCUCCGCGCAGAAGUCUCCCAGAGCCAUGGCCGAGUACUCUUAUGUGAAGUCUACCAAGCUUGUGCAUAAGGGAACCAAGGCGAAGAGAUUUGCCUGAGGUUGACUAUACAUACAAAUAUUGAGCAUUUCCUCCUGGUCUCCGUGAUAAACAAAGGUUUUGAUAUUGUUCGGCGAGAUGGAAAGAAAAUAUCAAGGAGUGAGCUGAAGCCACUGCCCUUGAGAACCCUCUCGAGGAGUCUGGCCUCAUGAAGAUGCCAGAAUAAACGGCAGAUAUAUCCUGAAUGAAUGUGAGAUUUUUACCCUGUGAAUUUCCUGUGAGGAGUGUAAGAAGAAAAAGAGGAAAGAUAAGAAGAGAAAAAGAGAAGAAGAUGAAGAAACCCAGUUUGAUAUGUUGAUUAGAUCCUGUGCUGAAAGAGAAACCAAGAAAAAAGAUGACAUUCCAGAAGAAUACAAAGGAAAUGUAAAACAAUGUGAAAUCAAUUAUGUAAAGAAAUUUCAGAGCUUCCAAGACCAAAAACUUAAAAUAAGUAAAGAAGAGAGUAAAAUUCUUAAAAAAGGCUCAGAAAGAUGGAUUUUUGCAUGAGACGCUUCUGGACAGAGAACCAAAUUGAAAGCCAACAGAUACUGCAAAUGACUGGAAUUUUUGUUUCUGCCUUAUCUUUUUGUGUUUUUUUUCUGAAUAAAAUAUUCAGAGGAAAUGCUUUUACAGAGUUCUUGAGUUGUUGUGAAAUUAUUAUUUAGCUAGUACCUAGUUUAACCAGGAUUAAACAAGUUUAAUCAGGAUUCUUCAUGGAUGUACUUUUUAGCUAACUACAGUUUUUCACAUGGAAAUGAAACUUACAG
rnacentral:lncRNA from 1 species